UACGAAGGGGGCGAGCGUUGUUCGGAUUUACUGGGCGUAAAGGGCGCGCAGGCGGCUCUGUUUGUCAGGCGUGAAAGCCCCCGGGCUUAACCUGGGAACUGCGUUUGAUACGGCAGGGCUAGAGUUCGGGAGAGGAGAGUGGAAUUCCCAGUGUAGAGGUGAAAUUCGUAGAUAUUGGGAAGAACACCGGUGGCGAAGGCGGCUCUCUGGACCGAUACUGACGCUGAGGCGCGAAAGCGUGGGGAGCAAACAGG
rnacentral:rRNA from 1 species